GGUGGAGGAGGACUUGAGUUGGCCUAUGUUCACCACCCUGAGGUUCACCACACUGAGAUUCUCCACUAUCCAAUGGCAGCUCCUUAUCUCAACAAAGGAAGUUUACUUCCCCAGCCAUGACCCUGGCACCUCUCCACAACGUGUAUCCUGUCUAGGAAUGAAGACAUUCGAAGAAAAAUCGUUUACUGAAAGAAGACUCCUGGGCUGGAGGAAAACCGUGAUCUACAGUUCAUGUUGACAGAUAUUGUGUUUUUGGUCCUAGAUCUGACUUUUGAAAUGACUUAUCACAAAUUCAAAUUUUGCAAUCAUGAGUGAAAUACCCAUGAUGUGCCAAGCAUCUACCUUUGCAGAUAGAAGAACACUUACCGUUCCUGAGCAUGGGAGGGAAUAGAAGUUCCUGGGUCCUGGCCUCACCUCAUCAGGCUCUGCCAAAUUUGACGCCUCCUUCCUGUUCACAGCAGUCCUUUGGGAUAGGGUAUUAGAUGCCACCAAAUAGCUGCAUAACUCAGCCACUUUGUCAGAGCCUGGGUCUAAGCCAGGUCUGACAGACUCCAAAGCAAGCCCUGUUUACAGCAUGACUGGGAUCCAGUGGAUGAGGGAACUGAACCGUCAAAACUAAGUGACUUGAUUGAGGCCAUGCAGCUGGGAAGGGAAGACCAGGAUCUGAACCCAACGGGGUCUCCCAAGCCUGGGCCACUGAACCAUUUCACCUCUUGGAAGAACUUAAUGAUCGGAGAGACUCACCCAGUUCAUGGACAGCAUGGGGAUAAACUGCUUCCCUAGAAAUCCUCUCCAGCAUUCUUGCCACCACGACUUUGGGACACGUUGACCAUGAGGAGGAGCUGGUCAAUGAUGGACAGGAGUCCAGAUUAGCAGAGAUGUGGUAAUAAGGACAUCAAUGCCUAAAUACUUGAAAUAUCCAACAGGAAGCAUUCCACCAUUGUGCAAAUGUGAACCACAUCUCACCAAGUUCAGGCCAAGGCUGCCACCAGUGACGUUUUGGAAAAGAAAAAAAAAAGUGGGGGAGAGGAGAGAAACAGAGAAGCAAGGAAUGCAGAAGAUAGCAGAAGUCACAAAAACAGCAGCAACGUGUCCUGUGUAUUCUGUUUCCUUGUAAAGCUAUGAAGCAUGUUAAGGAGACACUUCAUUUUUUGAGGAUUCAUGCUCUUGUUUAUAUCAUAAUAAAAACAACUCAUGUUCUUUCUAAAAAUUUAGGCAAUGCCUUCGUGCACAUAAAAGCAAAACAAAAUCACCUGUAAUCUUACCACACGCAGAUCAGCACUUGUUAAUCUUUUCACAGGGAUCCUAAGAAUAUCCUUUUCUCUAUAGAAUAUAGUUGAUUUGUGUUACCUAAUAACUAACUGUUAACCAUUUUAAAAUUCUUCAGUUUUACAUUAUGCUAGAAAAAAGGAGCUGUCACUCUACGUGACAUUUCUGUAUAUUGGUUUAUUCAUUCAAUAAACAUUUUUUAAGUACCUAC